rnacentral:rRNA from 1 species
ACCUACGGGGGGCAGCAGUAGGGAAUUUUCGUCAAUGGGCGCAAGCCUGAACGAGCAAUGCCGCGUGAACGAGGAAGGUCUUCGGAUCGUAAAGUUCUGUUGAAGGGGAGAAAGAGCGGAGAGAGGAAAUGGUCUCCGAUUGAUAUUACCCUUCGAGGAAGUCACGGCUAACUACGUGCCAGCAGCCGCGGUAAUACGUAGGUGGCGAGCGUUAUCCGGAAUGAUUGGGCGUAAAGGGUGCGUAGGCGGCCUGCUAAGUCUGGAGUGAAAGGUACCGGCUCAACCGGUACAGGCUCUGGAAACUG